rnacentral:rRNA from 1 species
GACGAACGCUGGCGGCGUGCUUAACACAUGCAAGUCGAACGAGUGGCGAACGGGUGAGUAAUACGUGGGUAACUGCCCGUAAGAGUGGGAUAACUACUGGAAACGGUGGCUAAUACCGCAUACUAUCGGACAAACCAUGUGGGAUUAGCUAGUUGGUAAGGUAAUGGCUUACCUAGGCGACGAUCCCUAGCUGGGCUGAGAGGAUGAUCAGCCACACUGGGACUGAGACACGGCCCAGACUCCUACGGAGGCAGCAGUGGGGAAUAUUGCGCAAUGGGCGCAAGCCUGAUGCAGCCAUGCCGCGUGUAUGAAGAAGGCCCUAGGGUUGUAAAGUACUGUCAGUCGGGAGGCGUUACCGACAGAAGAAGCACCGGCUAACUCCGUGCCAGCCGCCGCGGUAAUUC